rnacentral:rRNA from 1 species
UACGGAGGGGGCUAGCGUUGUUCGGAAUUACUGGGCGUAAAGCGCGCGUAGGCGGCUUUGUAAGUUAGAGGUGAAAGCCCAGGGCUUAACCCUGGAAUUGCCUUUAAGACUGCAUCGCUAGAAUCGUGGAGAGGUGAGUGGAAUUCCGAGUGUAGAGGUGAAAUUCGUAGAUAUUCGGAAGAACACCAGUGGCGAAGGCGACUCGCUGGACAAGCAUUGACGCUGAGGUGCGAAAGCGUGGGGAGCAAACAGG